AAAAAUUUAGUUAAAUAAUAAUAUAUGUUUGUCAAACAUAAGUAACUUAUAAAGUAUUUUUUA
rnacentral:tRNA from 1 species